GAGGCCACUCAUGAAUAGCACUUUUAAGAAGUGAUUAUUCUUAUUAUUUAUUUUUUUAUUAAGAUUUUUAUAUAAAAUAAAUUAUUUAAUCACUACACUCAUUUUUCAAAAAGCUCUGGAACCUUCGAGUACCAAAAUAGCAUAAUGAUAGAAGGUGAACUUUUACAGGAAAAUUACAUUUUUUUUCAACUUCAAUGGCCAUUUACAUAUAAAAGAUAAUGCUUCGGAUUAAAUUCAUUUUUUUAAUUAACAGUAAAUAACUAAAGAUUUAAUUUAACAUAUGUUUUAAGGACGCAAUAUUUCCGAAACACAUUCAAAAGCUAUGUUGAAAAAUUUAACUUUUAUAUUAUUUAUCCAAAUUUCACAAAAUAUAAUAACUUAACAUGAGAAAUUGUAAAUAAUGAAUAAGCUCAAAACAAAGUAUUACAAAAACAAUAAGAUAGAACAUACCAUCAGUAUGGAAGAGUUCAACUUUUUUGCUGCAUAUUGGGCACAUGGGUUGAUAAUUGUUAUCACUUAUAUGUUUAGCACAGUUUAUACCUAUACUGUGAAGACAAGG